CCCCGAUUCCUUUCUCUCCUCUCCUUCAUUGCGCCGAACCCUGUUUCCCCGAGUCCUCACCUCGCGAUUCGCCGCACCACCGCCGGCCGCGAUGAACCGCACAGCCGGUGACUUCUUCUCCCUCGAGCUAUAGCCGCUGGCUCUUUGUCUCGCCAGGGCACCACACAGCUAGCCUUUCUUCCCUCACGCGAGCACCGGAGACAUGCCACGGUACCUGAUCGCACGGCGUUGCUCAGGCUGUCGCUCGCCGGAGCUUUCUAUUCCUCAGCCUCUCAUCUACAUCUCUGCUAGGUACACACCUUCUCGGAUCUUUGCUCCGCACAGGCCGAUCUUCAGCGAAAGGGUGGGAAAGCCGAGCCCUAGCUGCCUAUUGUGGAUGCCGAUCUCCCUCUUCAUCACUGGAUUUGGAUCAAGGAGAUCCACCGCUUCCCUCUUAUCGUCGUGCCCUAGAUUGUCGAUCGCCUCUCCUCGUCGUUGGAUCUUGGACCAAGGAGGGUCAACGCCGUCUCCUUCCACCUGAGCAAUUGUAUACCUUUCUCGGAGCCCUGCCCUAGCCUCGGUCAGCAUCGCAUUGCCCUAUAUCGCCGGCGUCACUUUACCUUCUGUCGUUGCUCAUGAUCACAGUAGCAGCAUUCGUCCGAGAAGAGUGUUUAUGGAACUGGAUUGAUCUUGAAGGCAGCAACGUUUCCUGGUGUGGAACAUUUCUUGGUGCUAGUCACCACAUCACCGUAGUCAGCAGCUAACUCUGCCAGUGCUGUGCCAUCAGUAGCAGCUGGAAAAGAGGAGGACCUUGAUAUGGGAUGAUUAUCACGACGUGAGAUUUAUUUUGGACACGAUCUACAGAUAAA